AGUGAACGCUGGCGGUAGGCCUAACACAUGCAAGUCGAACGGCAGCACAGUAAGAGCUUGCUCUUACGGGUGGCGAGUGGCGGACGGGUGAGGAAUACAUCGGAAUCUACUUUUUCGUGGGGGCUAACGUAGGGAAACUUACGCUAAUACCGCAUACGAUCUACGGGUGAAAGCAGGGGAGCUUCGGACCUUUCGCGAUUGAAUGAGCCGAUGUCGGAUUAGCUAGUUGGCGGGGUAAAGGCCCACCAAGGCGACGAUCCGUAGCUGGUCUGAGAGGAUGAUCAGCCACACUGGAACUGAGACACGGUCCAGACUCCUACGGGAGGCAGCAGUGGGGAAUAUUGGACCAUGGGCGCAAGCCUGAUCCAGCCAUACCGCGUGGGUGAAGAAGGCCUUCGGGUUGUAAAGCCCUUUUGUUGGGAAAGAAAAGCAGCAGGUUAAUCCCCCGCUGUUCUGACGGUACCCAAAGAAUAAGCACCGGCUAACUUCGUG
rnacentral:rRNA from 1 species